CGCCCGUAUCGCGACUGGCGUUUGAGUGGGACACUGCAAGGAAGCGAAUUUCGGAGCGUCGUACGCCUGGGCGCUCCUC
rnacentral:ncRNA from 2 species